GACGAACGCUGGCGGCGUGCUUAACACAUGCAAGUCGAACGGAAAGGCCCUGCUUUUGUGGGGUGCUCGAGUGGCGAACGGGUGAGUAACACGUGAGUAACCUGCCCUUGACUUUGGGAUAACUUCAGGAAACUGGGGCUAAUACCGGAUAGGAGCUCCUGCUGCAUGGUGGGGGUUGGAAAGUUUCGGCGGUUGGGGAUGGACUCGCGGCUUAUCAGCUUGUUGGUGGGGUAGUGGCUUACCAAGGCUUUGACGGGUAGCCGGCCUGAGAGGGUGACCGGCCACAAUGGGACUGAGAUACGGCCCAGACUCCUACGGGAGGCAGCAGUGGGGAAUAUUGCACAAUGGGCGGAAGCCUUAUGCAGCAACGCCGCGUGCGGGAUGACGGCCUUCGGGUUGUAAACCGCUUUCGCCUGUGACGAAGCGUGAGUGACGGUAAUGGGUAAAGAAGCACCGGCUAACUACGUG
rnacentral:rRNA from 1 species